AGCUGAGCGCGUCAGUCUAUCUUCGGACGUCGGAGGGGUAGGUCGCUGUGCUUUCGAUUCUCGGCGGGGCGUCAUCUAUACACAAACGGUUUAAACUACUCAGCGACUUAGUAUCUUUUUUAUCCGACUUCAAGAAGGAGUUAUGAAUACGAGGUAUGGUUAGAAGAAGGAGUGGUAAAACAGGGACGACCGUCGAGAACAAAGCAUAUGCACUCUUCGUACCUGCAGUCAGUGAUGAUAGUUCGACAAUCGAAUAACAGUAGUGCGAUUACCGAAGACAACUUCAAAACGGAAUUUAAAAUUAUAUUUUUCGAAACACAACAUUAUUUUACAAAAUAUUUAUUUAUUUAUUUCAUUGUUUGCAUUGAAAACGUAACUUGAUCGAUACAAUAUUUUCUCCGGUGUAUUUUUUACAAAUAUUUAUACAGUGAUCAUUAAUGGAAAUUAUUUCCUAUAAACUGCGAUACAAUCAUUUGUUCGUUCUAAGUAUUUAUAACUUAUUAACUUCCAGCCGUAUUCGUUAAAUUUUUGAUCGAAAGGCAUCGGAUCUGUCCAUCGAUUUUCACCAUCUUUGGGUCCAAUAAUAAAAACGAGAUUUCCUUUAUAAUUCUCAAUAUAAUUCCAAAAUGCUGGGCCGUUGUUGAAAUAACAAAAAAGGAGAGCGUAAUUGUUUGGUAGAGAAAUUUUUGUAUCGCUUUCAUGAACGAAAAUCAUAUUUUCUAAAAAUAAAGGUGGAGAGUAUUUGCUACGCCACCACGAAUGAUCUAGCUCUAUGCCAAUUACAUCGAAACCUUGAACAAAGAAUUAAGUACUAAAACGGGAACGACUAACAAAAACUUAUAAAUGGAACUUUUACGUAAUGCGACACGUGUAUAAAUAUUUAAUAUUAAAAACUUACCGGAAUA